rnacentral:rRNA from 1 species
UGGGGAAUAUUGCACAAUGGGCGCAAGCCUGAUGCAGCCAUGCCGCGUGUAUGAAGAAGGCCUUCGGGUUGUAAAGUACUUUCAGCGGGGAGGAAGGGAGUAAAGUUAAUACCUUUGCUCAUUGACGUUACCCGCAGAAGAAGCACCGGCUAACUCCGUGCCAGCAGCCGCGGUAAUACGGAGGGUGCAAGCGUUAAUCGGAAUUACUGGGCGUAAAGCGCACGCAGGCGGUUUGUUAAGUCAGAUGUGAAAUUCCCGGGCUCAACCUGGGAACUGCAUCUGAUACUGGCAAGCUUGAGUCUCGUAGAGGGGGGUAGAAUUCCAGGUGUAGCGGUGAAAUGCGUAGAGAUCUGGAGGAAUACCGGUGGCGAAGGCGGCCCCCUGGACGAAGACUGACGCUCAGGUGCGAAAGCGUGGGGAGCAAACAGG